rnacentral:rRNA from 1 species
AUUGAACGCUGGCGGCAGGCCUAACACAUGCAAGUCGAGCGGAGCGGCGGACGGGUGAGUAAUGCCUAGGAAUCUGACUGGUAGUGGGGGAUAACGUCCGGAAACGGGCGCUAAUACAGCAUCCUAUCGGAUGAACCCAUGUGGGAUUAGCUAGUAGGUGGGGUAAAGGCUUACCUAGGCGACGAUCCCUAGCUGGUCUGAGGGGAUGAUCAGCCACACGGGGACUGAGACACGGUCCAGACUCCUACGUGAGGCAGCAGUGGGGAAUAUUGCACAAUGGGCGCAAGCCUGAUAGAGCCAUGCCGCGUGGAUGAAGAAGGCCUUAGGGUUGUAAAGUUCUGUCAGCGGGGAGGCGGUACCCGCAGAAGAAGCACCGGCUAACUCCGUGCCAGCAGCCGCGGUAAUUC